CCAACGUGGGGAGGGCUCGAGCCCUGAGCCAGCACGGCUCCAGCGAGCAAUGCUGUAAUUCAGACCUCCGGAAUUGUCUUCCAUGAUUGCAACAUGUUUGGCUUGCUUGAAAUGCCUGAAGUCACCGUUCCCUUUCUUUUCCGGUUUGAAUCGAAGGUAAUAGGAAGGGAGGUCUGAUCUUCACUUUGGGCUUUGAACUUUGAAGCAUUUGGUUAGCAUCCUAAACAAGCUGUGGGAACGGAUUGGAUUUUUAAUCUUAUGUGCUUUGGGAGAACACUAAAAGGACUACUUGAAGAACUGCUUUAGGGGCUGUUCUUUUCGUCCUCGAUUUUGUUUGGUACAAUGUUGACAUUUAGCUUCAACCAGGCUUUUUCUACGAUUCAGUUGGCUUGAAAACAGAAUCAUGUCUAUUGCGGAUCGUUGGAAGUUACUUCUCAUGGAAAUUGUUGAAACACGGAAAAUUAGUUUCAUCCUUGAUACAUC
rnacentral:lncRNA from 1 species